UGGGGAAUUUUGGACAAUGGGCGAAAGCCUGAUCCAGCAAUGCCGCGUGUGUGAAGAAGGCCUUCGGGUUGUAAAGCACUUUUGUCCGGAAAGAAAUCCUUGGCUCUAAUACAGUCGGGGGAUGACGGUACCGGAAGAAUAAGCACCGGCUAACUACGUGCCAGCAGCCGCGGUAAUACGUAGGGUGCAAGCGUUAAUCGGAAUUACUGGGCGUAAAGCGUGCGCAGGCGGUUUGCUAAGACCGAUGUGAAAUCCCCGGGCUCAACCUGGGAACUGCAUUGGUGACUGGCAGGCUAGAGUAUGGCAGAGGGGGGUAGAAUUCCACGUGUAGCAGUGAAAUGCGUAGAGAUGUGGAGGAAUACCGAUGGCGAAGGCAGCCCCCUGGGCCAAUACUGACGCCCAUACACGAAAGCGUGGGGAGCAAACAGGAUUAGAUACCCUGGUAGUCCACGCCCUAAACGAUGUCAACUAGUUGUUGGGGAUUCAUUUCCUUAGUAACGUAGCUAACGCGUGAAGUUGACCGCCUGGGGAGUACGGUCGCAAGAUUAAAACUUAAA
rnacentral:rRNA from 1 species